GCCCUGCUCCUGCUGAUUGAUGGCACGACCUUUGUCGGUGCACAGCGAGUUUGGGAAGCGAUAGACCUGCACUUCCGUCAUUCCGUUUCUCACCGCGCGCUGAAUGACAGUCGAAGCGAGUUUGACCUUUUCUUCCUCUGAUUUUCCUGACGGCCGACUGAGCCGCUCGAUCAGGGCGUGUUUCUCGGAUUCGGCUGCCGCGGCAAGGCGCGCGUACUGUUCUGCCUUUUCGGCCUCCUUGAGGGCCGCUUCCGUCCGGAUCUGCU
rnacentral:misc_RNA from 1 species